UUCCAGCCAUCCCUCUGCCUGCAAUGAGAGCUUCCCGCCGCCUCAGCCACAGUCCCACCCGGGGGCCUUGGGCCCCAGACAUGCGGUGAUCUCAGGGCAAGGGUUGCCACGACCACCCAGAACCUCACCAGCCAUGAAAGCCCACCCCAAGGAGAUGGUGCCUCUCAUGGGCAAGAGAGUUGCUGCCCCCAGUGGGAACCCUGCCGUCCUGCCAGAGAAGAGGCCGGCGGAGAUCACCCCCACAAAGAAGAGGUGGGUUUGGAGAGCUCGGGACACGGACUGCGGCACCGUGAGGGGCACGAGCGGGGGCCUGGCACCCCCCCCCCCAGGGAGCCCUUUUCUUGGGGAGACCUGAGACUCUCAGUCUCGCCCGGGGUGGCCCGGUGCCCAGCGAGGUAUGACUGGGGGAUGGUGCGGUGGGGAGCACGGCACACUCAGGGGGCUGAGCUGGGGUGGUCAGUGUGACUGGCACAAUUAGGGAAGCCUCCUUGGAGGGAUCAGGGGGUGCUGAGGCAGGAGCAGUCAGGAGGGCUCCUGAGGGAGGUGAGGGAUGGCUGGAGCCACCCUUCAGACGAGGAGCAAAAUGCUGGCUGGAAGUUCCAGGUGACCCGGAGCCUCUGUUGGGCACGUUUUCCACACACACACCCAUGGCUUUCCAUCCACUCUGCACCCAGCCGGGUUAUUCAAGCUCUUGAACUCCACCUUUGGAAUGGGGACACUGGCAAUGGCACCAACUAUAGGAUGAUGGUUAAUUGGGAUCAAGUCAACAAAGUGCUCAGUGCAGCGCCUGGCACGUGGUCAGCGCUCAGCCCGUGUUGGCAUUGAGAGUGUUUCUGUGACCUUCACCAUCAUCAUUGUCCUCAUCACUCCAUGGGGCCCCUGGGAACUGGGCAGGGCUGGGAUGAUCAGCUUUACUUCUUCGCUGGGGACGUGGAGGAGACCUGGAGCAGAGAAAGGACCUCUCUAGGGUCACCCAUCCCGCCCCUCCGCUGCCUCCAUUAUAGAUUCUGCACCCCCAGCUCAUUGGGUGCCUCUCAAGCUGUCCCCCAGCCCACUUCACCUGUGCGUCCCUUGAAUCCGGGGUGGCCCUGCCUCCUCUGCCUGUAUCCCAGGCCCCCUUUGGGCCAGGGCUGAGCUUGGUGCUUCCCCUCUGUUAAUUGGAGCUAUAAUCAUUGAGGUGUCCUGUGUACCAGCCCCAGGGUUGGGCUCAGGACAAGGAGUUUGGGACAUGGAGAGAAAAAUGCCCACGUCUGCUCACAGUCUGGUGAAAGGGGAGUCGAGGAGAGAAUGGGAAGUGACCACAGAGAGGUGAACUAGCCCCGUGGGGCCUGAAGAGUGGCAGGUUAUUCUGAUCCUGUAGGCAGUCUCAGGGGACUUCCUGGAGGAGGUGGUGCUAGAGAGGAUGUGGAGAGGAAGGAAAAAGUGCAUCUGGGCAGAGGGACAUGAGAGCCAUGGCUCAGAGUGGGGCCACUGAGGUGAGGAGUCUGGUGUAGCUGAAAUACCGGCCAGUAGAGGAGUCUUUGGGGAGGCGAGUCCCAUUGGAGCUGGGUCCUGGGGGUCAGUCAAGGAACUUGGAUAAUCCUCAGGGCAGUGGGGAGCCAUGGAGGGAUUUUUUGUGGGAGGGAGGGCAUGGUGAGAUGUGCCUUCUGGAGAGGUGACUCUGGGGGAUCUGCGUGGAUGAUGGAUUAGAGGAGAGGCUGACAGCAGGGAGGUCAUGAGGAGGCCUUUGGGAAGCCCAGGUGAUAGGUGGUGAUGUCUGAGCCUGGGUGGUGAGGGAUAAAGAGGAGGGGACAGCACAGACAGGUGUCAGUAUCAUGGGGUCUGCAGGACCAGCCAUGGGAGGUAAAGGAGAAGGAGGAAUCCCGGUGGGAGGGCCUGGAGGGAUGGCGGGGCCGUCUGACAUGGCGCAUCAGAGGAGAAGAUCCAGGUCAGGAGGAAUGAGCCAAAUUCAGUUGUGAAAUGUUGGGUGAGAGGUGCCUGAGGGACACCCAGGUGGAGGCUCCAUCUUGGAAGGCAAGAGGGAAAACUGGUGGAGAAGGAGCCAGACAGGUGUCGUGUGGGGUCAUGGGGGCAGCCUGGGUCUGGGUGGGCUUGUCCAGGAAAGGGCAGAGACAUCCCUGAGCUAAGCUGGCAAGGACCACCUCCCUGGCUCUCCUGCCCCUUCCCACCCGCUCUCACUUGUCCAGGGGAGGUUUGGACCUCCGGAAAAAAAUGAGGACAGAGUUUUGGGAAAAUCCCACGUCCUUUCCUCAGCAGGAACCGUCAGGCUGCCUUCUCUGAGCCCAUCCCCCCAAUUCACAGAUUUAGCUCCAGGCUCAGCUCUGCAAAGCCUCCUCCGCCCAGCCAAGGGCUGAGCUUGGCAUGUCUCCUAAAUUGCUGUCCACUUCUCUGCCCCAAAGGCCCUCUGAGGACCCUCAUGUGAAGGUUUGGGCACCCCCUUCAGAGCUGAGUAGGGGACUUGGGCCCAGAGAGAAACAGAAAAGAUAAGAAUAAAUUAAAAGGCCGGGUGCGGUGGCUCACGCCUGUAAUCCCAGCACUUUGGGAGGCCGAGGCGGGUGGAUCAUUUGAGGUCAGGAGUUUGAGACCAGCCUGGCCAACAUGGUGAAACCCUGUCUCUACUAAAAAUACAAAAAUUAGCCGGGUGUGGUGGCAUGCGCCUGUAGUCCUAGUUACUUGAGAGGCUGAGGCAGGAGAAUUGCUUGAACCCAGGAGGUGGAGGUUGCAGUGAGCCAAGAUUGUGCCACUGCACUCCAGCCUGGGCGACAGAGCAAAACUCUUGUCUC
rnacentral:sRNA from 1 species